AGGGGAGUGGCUCAACGGUAGAGCAACGGUCUCCAAAACCGUCGGUUGAGGGUUCGAAUCCUUUCUCCCCUGCCA
rnacentral:tRNA from 1 species